rnacentral:rRNA from 1 species
CGCAUCUGUGCAUGCAGCAUAUCAAUAAGCGGAGGAAAAGUCAACUACCUACGCUUAGGAUGUUGACACACGCGCGUGCUCGACUCUAUACAUGACUCUGUGCAUAUCAAUAAGCGGAGGAAAAGGCUGCGGAACUGAACGACCGCUACCUACGCUUAGGAUGUUGACACACGCGCGUGCUCGGCUCUAUACAUGACUCUGUGCAUAUCAAUAAGCGGAGGAAAAGUCAAUACCUACGCUUAGGAUGUUGACACACGCGCGUGCUCGACUCUAUACAUGACUCUGUGCAUAUCAAUAAGCGGAGGAAAAGAAACUAACAAGGAUUCCCUUAGUAACGGCGAGUGAAGCGGGAAGAGCUCAAAUUUGAAAUCUUCAAGGUUUUACCUUGACGAAUUGUAGUUUAAAGAAGUGUUUUCUGUUGAAGUUUUGGUAAAAGUUCUUUGGAAUAGGACAUCAUAGAGGGUGAGAAUCCCGUAUUUGACCAUUAUUUUCAGCUGUGUGAUACACUUUCAAAGAGUCGGAUUGUUUGGGAAUGCAGUCCAAAAUGGGUGGUAAAUUUCAUCUAAAGCUAAAUAUUGGCGAGAGACCGAUAGCGAACAAGUACCGUGAGGGAAAGAUGAAAAGAACUUUGAAAAGAGAGUUAAACAGUACGUGAAAUUGUCAAAAGGGAAGCGUUUGACACCAGUGUUGUUUUCUCGAAAAUCAAUUAAAAAGAGUUAGAUUUUGUUGUGUAUUGACCUUAACAGCUUGCAUUUCAAUUUUCUUGCUUUUUUUAAUGCACUUUUCGUUUAACAAGUCAACAUCAGUUUCUUUUGUUGUAAAAAGGUCAUUGGAAGGUGGCUUUCUUUUCGGAGAAAGUGUUUAUAGCCUUUGACUCCUGCAAUCGGAGAGACUGAGGUCUGCAGCGUAGGAUCCUUCGGGGUUAGAUACAUUUGUGCUAAGUUAUAGCUUUUUAUAGACAACUUGUUGACUAUGAUUAGUCUUGUAGCUUACUCGCUUAUGCUAUUUUACCUACGCUUAGGAUGUUGACACACGCGCGUGCUCG